rnacentral:lncRNA from 1 species
CAAGAAGACAGGAGAAGAAAGAAUACUUAAGAAAAAAAAUUUGACUUGAUACUGCUUAACAAACAGAGCAGGCAUCUGUAAGAUCUUUGAAGAAAAGCUUCAGCCUGAAAUGAACCACGUUCUCCUUCCAGCAGCAGCAGAAGUUAAACACCAGGCAUCCUACAGACCGCAUGCCACAAAACGCCUCCUUUUUUGCUGUGAUGGUAAUGCUUGGUGCAUGAGGAAAAGCGAC